AGUGAACGCUGGCGGUAGGCCUAACACAUGCAAGUCGAACGGCAGCACAGUAAGAGCUUGCUCUUACGGGUGGCGAGUGGCGGACGGGUGAGGAAUACAUCGGAAUCUACUUUUUCGUGGGGGAUAACGUAGGGAAACUUACGCUAAUACCGCAUACGACCUACGGGUGAAAGCAGGGGAGCUUCGGACCUUGCGCGAUUGAAUGAGCCGAUGUCGGAUUAGCUAGUUGGCGGGGUAAAGGCCCACCAAGGCGACGAUCCGUAGCUGGCCUGAGAGGAUGAUCAGCCACACUGGAACUGAGACACGGUCCAGACUCCUACGGGAGGCAGCAGUGGGGAAUCUUCGACAAUGGGCGCAAGCCUGACGCAGCAACGCCGCGUGGGUGAAGAAGGUCUUCGGGUCGUAAAGCUCUUUUGUUGGGAAAGAACAGCAGCAUGUUAAUCCCUGGCCGUUCUGACGGUACCCAAAGAAUAAGCAACGGCUAACUUCGUG
rnacentral:rRNA from 1 species